UAAUAAAAGUGGAAUGCGGGC
rnacentral:siRNA from 1 species